UUCUGCCACGUACUGGCAGGUGGCAGAAGCGCCCGGAGACGUUCGCGGAGGUCCAUAGUAGGCCACGCACUGCCCUGCUCCCUUGGCCUUGGACAUCCACCUCCCCUUCGAUAAAGUGCUCCAGUGGGUGAAGCCGAAGGAGAGGCAGCGAACGGAUACACGCGAAGGCUUAACUCGGACCGUGAACUUGGGCCGAGUAGGAAAGGCUCGCUCCGCCCUCCCCCAACAUUACGGCGGCUGCGUCAACAAGCUGUGGCCCACACUCAACAUGGCGGCGGCGGCGCCAGCGGCCUCCUGCCCUUCUCCAUCAUGGCGGCAGCCGGACCCGCCUCCGCGGGCGCCGGAGUCAUGUGACCCACACAAUGGCUGAGCACCUACUCCAGGCUUCCCGGCAACGCCAAGUGAAAGCCAUGACGGCCGCCGCGGGUUCGGCGGGCCAAGCCGCGGUGCCCCUGCUGCUGUGCGCGCUGCUGGCGCCCGGCAGCGCGUACGUGCUCGACGACUCCGAUGGGCUGGGCCGGGAGUUCGACGGCAUCGGAGCUGUCAGCGGCGGCGGGGCAACCUCCCGACUUCUAGUAAAUUACCCAGAGCCCUAUCGUUCUCAAAUACUGGAUUAUCUCUUUAAGCCGAACUUCGGUGCCUCUUUGCAUAUUCUAAAAGUUGAAAUAGGUGGUGAUGGGCAGACAACAGAUGGCACCGAGCCCUCCCACAUGCACUAUGCAUUAGAUGAGAAUUAUUUCCGAGGAUAUGAGUGGUGGUUAAUGAAGGAAGCUAAGAAGCGGAACCCUAAUAUCACACUCAUGGGGCUGCCAUGGUCGUUCCCUGGAUGGCUGGGGAAAGGUUUCAACUGGCCUUAUGUAAAUCUUCAGCUGACUGCCUACUAUGUCGUGAGUUGGAUUGUGGGCGCCAAGCAUUAUCAUGAUCUGGACAUUGAUUAUAUCGGAAUUUGGAAUGAGAGGGCAUUUGACAUCAAUUAUAUCAAGGUGUUAAGAAGAAUGCUGAACUAUCAAGGUCUCCAGCAAGUGAAAAUCAUAGCGAGUGAUAAUCUCUGGGAGCCCAUUUCUGCUUCUAUGCUGCUUGACUCUGAGCUCUUGAGGGUGAUUGAUGUCAUAGGAGCUCAUUACCCUGGGACCCGUACAGUAAAGGACGCUAGGUUGACUGAGAAGAAACUUUGGUCUUCUGAAGAUUUUAGCACUUUAAAUAGUGAUGUGGGUGCAGGCUGCUGGGGUCGCAUAUUGAAUCAGAAUUAUAUCAAUGGCUACAUGACUGCCACAAUUGCUUGGAAUUUGGUGGCUAGUUACUAUGAACAGUUGCCAUAUGGGCGUUGUGGACUGAUGACUGCUCAGGAGCCAUGGAGCGGGCACUAUGUAGUAGAAGCUCCUAUCUGGAUAUCAGCUCAUACCACUCAGUUUACUCAACCAGGUUGGUAUUACCUGAAGACAGUUGGCCAUUUAGAAAAAGGAGGAAGCUAUGUAGCUCUGACGGAUGGCUUAGGUAACCUCACCAUCAUCGUUGAAACUAUGAGUCAUAAACAUUCCAUGUGUAUACGGCCACUUCUUCCCUAUUUCAAUGUUUCACGACAAUUUGCUACCUUCAUCCUUAAGGGUUCUUUUAGUGAAAUACCAGAGCUGCAGGUGUGGUAUACCAAACUUGGAAAACCAUCGGAGAGAUUUCUUUUCAAACAACUGGAUUCUCUAUGGCUCCUAGACAGCGGUGGCAGCUUCACGCUGGAACUGCAGGAGGACGAGCUGUUCACACUCACCACGCUCACCGCCGGCAGCAAAGGCAGUUACCUGCUGCCUCCGAAGUCCCAGCCCUUUCCCUGUGUCUAUAAGGAUGACUUCAAUGUCGAUUACCCAUUUUUUAGUGAAGCUCCGAAUUUUGCUGAUCAGACUGGUGUAUUUGAAUACUUUAUGAAUAUUGAAGACCCUGGAGAGCAUCGCUUCACACUGCGCCAGGUUCUCAAUCAAAGGCCCAUUACUUGGGCUGCUGAUGCAUUCAGCACCAUCAGUAUUAUAGGAGAUUACAAAUGGUCCAAUUUGACUAUAAAGUGUGAUGUGUACCUAGAGACCCCUGAGAAGGGAGGUGUGUUCAUUGCUGGAAGAGUGAAUAAAGGUGGCAUUUUGAUUAGAAGUGCCAGGGGAGUUUUCUUCUGGAUUUUUGCAAAUGGAACCUACAGAGUUACAGGUGAUCUAGCUGGAUGGAUCAUAUAUACUUCAGGACAUGCUGACGUUACAGCAAAAAAAUGGUAUACACUCACUUUAACUAUUAAUGGUGGUUUCUCUUCUGGCACGCUGAAUGGCAAGCCUCUCUGGAAAAACGUCUCUGUGAACUUCCCGAAGAAUGGCUGGGCCGCGAUUGGAACUCACUCCUUUGAAUUUGCACAGUUUGACAACUUUCGUGUGGAAGCCAUACACUAACACCCACAGAGUGCCAUAGAACACUCUCUGGAUUUUCUUUCUUUUUGGUUUUGGUUCAGAGCCGUUUCUGGUUUUGAUGGAUCAAUAUAGGAGCCUUUUGGAAGCUACAAAAAAUGGAGAGUAAAUGAGGAGAAAAAUAUAUUUUUGCUUGACCAUCUUGAAGAUUUUUUUUUUUAGAAUUCCAAGGAGAAACAGAUGAAUCUUUAAUAUAACCUGAUACGUCCCGUACAUAGGGCACUAGGUGACUGGAAGGAGGAAGAAAACCCCAUAUAGCCAAUGCUGUGAGUGGGUCCAAAGUUGCUCUGGAGACUAGAUGUGUGCCUGGCUACUCCUUUUGUGUAACUGGUAACAACCCCAGGAUCAUUUGAGAAUUUCCUGUAAGACUGGGCUGUCCCUGAAUAGAGCUGUCCCUGAAUAGAGCUGAGUGCCAUGAAAUCGAUGGAGAUUCUGGAUGGUCUGGAUCCCAAGCCAAGGAAUAUACAGGCCCUCCACAGACUGGAUGAUGCCCACCCACACCUGAGGAGCACCACCUGCCUUAGCCCAUCAAUUCCAAUGCUAAUCUCUUUGAGAAACCCUCUCACAGACACAGCCCAAAAUAAUGUUUAACUUGAUAGCUGGGCAUCUUGUGACCUUGUCAGGGUGACACAUACAGUUAACCAUCGUGGUGCCCCUGUGGGUAAAGAGCUCAAAGGAAUUUUAUGCACAGAGAUGACCGAUGCUCAACACCAAGGGGCUGCAUGUUAGUAAUGUAGCUCUCCCCCCUCCCAGUUUGUUGAGAUCUUUGGUGAAGUAUAUUGUGCACACAAGGGUAUGCUUUUUCUAUGUGGUGUGCUUGUGUGAAUGUAUAUGUGCAUGUGUGUGCAUGUGAAUGCAGGCAUGGUUGUGGAUAUGCAUGUAUGAUGUAUGUAAGCAUGUGUGUGUAUGAGAGAGAGAAAUUGAGAGAGACAGAGGAAGAGAAAAGGUGGUUUGUGCAGAUGCAGGAAACUGCGACGUCCCUGGGGAGGGUUGGUGCAGAGCAGAACAGGGAUCGGAUGAGGAGAUAAUCCAGAAAUUUAGCCAAUUUGGCAGAAGCAGGGCUCUAAAUCAGAGGCCAUGGAAAGGCAUGAAUCCCCAGAAAUCUUGUGGAUGGUUGAAAUGAAAUGGGGGUUACAGCCAAUCUUGUCUGGAUUAUAAGGGACAUGGUGAUGCCAGUGAUGCGUUCUCCAUGUGUUAUGGAUUGUCCAUUAACUUUUGGUAGAAUAUAAAGGCCUGAGGCUAAAAGAUUGAUAAUCUGACCAUAAUUGCCCUCCACUCUCAACAAAGCAAAUAAUCGGGAUUGUUCUUCUACCGUUAUAUUCCUCUGUAGUUAUCAUCUUUAUGACAACUUUCCGUCUCCUCGUUUAUCAAACACACUUGAACCUAAUUUUAGCAGACAAAAUUGUUGGGGGUGAGGGUGUGAUUUCUGUAGUGGCUUGGGAUGCAGGGCCCUUCCAAUACUUUUUGGGGGCCAGAAAGUAUAAUUCAAUAACAGCAACUUGUUUUACUUGGAACGUCUAGGACACCAGUUGUGUGAGAUGAAUUAUGUUUUCAUGCAAGGUUCUGAGAGGCCAAAUGACAAAACAUGAGUACAGUGUUUUCUUGAAGGCUUAAAUGGCUUUGCAGAUGUGAAUUAGUCUAUAACAUCGCAGGCACUUUUUUCGUGUGGGUCACACCACCCCUUCCCUCUUCCACUGUUGUAGACAGAAUCAUUAGUAUGUGUCAGCUGCUGAACUUGAGUCAUCAAAUACUAAUCAGAUAAGAAAUGGAUUAGCAAGGAAUCAUAUAAACUGUAUUUUCAGAGUGAAAGUAAAGGAAGUGCACGUUUAAAAUUCGCAGUGAAGCUACCACAGCUAUUUAGGAUGCAAUAAAAGUCCAUUUUAAUAAGUAUCACAUAGUUUACCUGUAGCCCAUUAACUGCGUUUCAGAGAUAGGCAAAGUGAAAAGUGUAAUCUGAUUUUAAGCAUUUUCCACUCAUAUAAAUUACCCAAAUGAAGUAUUUGGGCAUGCUUGCACUGCUAAAUAAGGCAGAAAACGUUACCAAGCUUUUAUGUUAAUACUCCAUAGGUGCUCGGCUGUGUUAGCAAUGAAUCAUGCAGUAUAAGUGACUGCCCCCUGCCCCCCCAUCGUUGGGUUUGGAAAUCCAAACAGACCUCCCUCACCUCUGCCUUUUGUUCUCUGAUCUUGGGCACAACACUUCCCUUCUUUGGGCUGCAGGUUCCUCAUGUGUGAAAUUAGGUAAAUUAAUCCUAUAAGUAUGGUUAUCAGGUUAAAUGAGAUUAUGCACGCAUGGCAUAUACUAAGUAUUCUGGAAAUGAGAGCUAUCAUUACUAUAAACUUGUAGUACGUGUAUUUAAUUCAACACUGUUAUUUUUAGUGUUCUAUUUAUUUUAACCAUUUAAGAUGGAAAUUUUAAAUAAAUUCUGCUCUUCGUGCUUGUUAGGUCAAAUUUUAUCUGUUAUAAGAAGACAUUAUAACAAUGAAAAGGACAUUUUAAAAAUUUUAAAUAAUUCGCCAUAAUACUUAUAUCCUAACAACAAAGCAAUUUUCCUCUUUCUGGAUUCCUUUGCCCGUGUAUAGGCACAUUUUGACAUCGUCAUAAUCAGUCUUCAAAGCAUUAGUCUAUAGUUUGCAAUUUUGUAAAAUGUACUGUAUUUUUAUGUGGCUUCAUAAUUGUAAUUUUUAGUGGCCAUGCUACAUUCAUUAGAGGUUGUGGACCCUAAUCUAAUAGUCCCUGUUUUUAGUCAUUUUGAUUGCUUCUCGUUUUUAUAUGCAUGGCAGAGAUGAGUAUCUUCAGUCUAACGCUCUCCCAGCUGAGCUAUUUCGGCCACCUAAGAUGAAUAUCCUUUGUAGAAGGAGUCAAGGGAUUCUAGAUUUGGAGAAUUGAAAGAGCUGAGUCCUUUUGAUUGGGGCUGGGCAGAGGGCUUUGUAGCUGAGGUGUUUCAAGAGGGAAGACUGGGGCUCCUGAGUGCUUCUAGAUGCAGCAGCAGUGGGGGUGGGCUUGGGGUUUCCAAAGGAGAAGACCCCACGGGGCUGGCAUACAAGGCUGCAGGUUAUGGAGAGAGGCAGAGGGAACCUUAAGGUUGCCUUCUAGGUGGACCUACUCACUUCAGCAGAGAAGGAAAAGACCCAGGGAACAGGGGCAGAAGUCCCUUCCAGUAAGGAGAAGAGGGAGUCGGCAUCUUGGAGGCAGCCUCUGCUUCUGCUACUUUCAAAGUGAGCUCUUUUAAUCCUGUAAACUACUAUUUGCAGAAAGUAAGGCACAGAGAGAUGGCGUAGGUGGCCCAAGUCAAGAAGCUGGCACCUUGGGUGUGUGUGUGUGUGUGUGUGUGUGUCCAGCUCCCCAGGCUUCCCCAAGCUGGGAGCUGCAGAUCCCUAAGGGGCACCCAUCUGAGUGCCUCUGGGAGUCCUGUGAACAGCCUUUGACCAGUGAAGGGCCAGUUCUGUAUUACAGUUAAAACCAAAAGCUCGCCUUUCCUGCUGAGUGAAUGGGGACACCACAGAGCAAACAGAGACAAGAUGGCCACCAGGGGCUCAGCAGUGGUUGAUCACAUCCUCAGGAGUGUUGCCCUGGAGGGUGAUGCAUUUCAGAACAGAGCACCCCGGGGUGUGCAGGUAAAACAGUUCUUCCCUUGAGGACCUCUGCAAAGCCUGCAGGAUCCACGGAGAAUGGCCAUUUUAGCAGUUUGUGGUAAGGAAGCCUCCUUAGCUGCCAUUCCCAGGCGGAGACCGAGUCAACCAAAGCAUUCUGAUGGUCACCAUGUGAGACUUGCGGUGCUCUAGUGCACAGGAGAUAUCGUGAAAAUGUAUAGAUUAAUUAAAAUAAUAAAAAGACAGCAUUUUUUUGCUUAUCACUUUGGCAAAUACAUAUAUAUAUAAAUAUUUAUACAUUAUAUAUUAUUUUAUGUAUAGCAGGCAAUGUAUAAGUUAAUACAUUGUGUAUGUUAUGUACUUAUUCGUAUUACAUGUUUAUCUAUUUAUAUAUGUUUGUAAUCCUGGCACAGUACUUGCUUUGUUCAUAGGGCAGUAAAGUUCACAUAUGUAGGUAGAUGUACCUGAAUGUGCUUUUGAGCGAGGAGUUACUUUUCGUCAUCUAAUGCCCCUGCCCUUUUGGCAGAAGGAGAAACUAAGGCUCGGAGAGAUGACUCCUUCAGGGAGCACAGCUGGGGAAGGAGCCCAGCCUCUCUGCUUUUUCAUUCAUGUCCUUCCUCCUCCUGGUGUGACCUCAAUCCUGCAGCCAUGCAUGUAAAGGGGCUAAAGCAAAACAUCUCUUUCCAAAGAGUAGCACUUUUGUCACAAAACAGUGCUCAUAGAUGCCUCAGGACAGCAACAAAAAGAAAAAAAAAAGAGGAAGCGAUUGGCCAGAGUUUCCGUUUGAGGUCUAGCUCCUCAAAGACACGCCAUGGAGCUCAACAAAAGGCAGGCGAUUGCCCCUUUGAUGGUGCUUCUUUCCAGGGGACAUCUUUUCUCUUGUGCGAAGCUUCUCAUUUUUAGACAAAAGCAGAUAAACAGAAAUUCUAUUCUGACUCACCGAGUGUCACUGACAUAUUUGAAAAUAUCUUUCUACCAAGACAGAAGAAUGGGAUAGUGUAAGAAUUCUCUGAGAUACACUCAAGGAAAUCUAUAAAGGAAUUCCACAAAUUAGCCUCCUAAGGGAAAAGCGAUGUCUGACAUGAACCUUAGCACUUUAAAUCCUUUUUUAACAAUUUCCAGGAGAUGGAAGAACCGCAGUUCUAAGGGAUGUCCGCUAGAUGACAGCAUGACUAUGGUUAAAGUCUCAGUAGCUUUCUCUGGCGUGGAAAAGGGGAUUUAUUACUCUGAUCAGAGGUUGGAAGUCAAAGGUUUUAUGGAUACGAAUAUGCUGUUAAAAUAUUAUAAACUAAACUAUAUAUUUACAUAUAUCUAAUAUAUAAUUCUUACUAUUAUUGUGUGAAGUAUCGUAUUGGCUUUCUUACCAUAAUUCUUACUAUCUUUACUCAGAUCCAUGUGUGAUUUAGGCAGGUUUAAUGUUAUGGCUAAAAGUCCUUUGCUGGCUGCCACCACCCUUACUUGAAUAAUCCCUUUGUUCUUCAAAUGCUAAUUUAUUAAAUGGCUUUAGUGUACAUUAGCCACA